rnacentral:rRNA from 1 species
UACAGAGGGUGCGAGCGUUUGUCCGGAAUCACUGGGCGUAAAGGGCGCGUAGGUGGCGCGACAAGUCAGUGGUGAAAGUUCGACGCUCAACGUCGAAUCGGCCACUGAUACUGUUGGGCUUGAGCACUGUAGAGGCUAAUGGAAUUCCGGGUGUAGCGGUGGAAUGCGUAGAGAUCCGGAAGAACACCGGUGGCGAAGGCGGUUAGCUGGGCAGUUGCUGACACUGAGGCGCGACAGCGUGGGGAGCAAACAGGG